rnacentral:lncRNA from 1 species
CCUACUUUCAACACCUUGGACGGAUCUCGGGGGUCGGCUGAGAAGCUCUCAAGUUCCUCUACAGGGGAUGCUUGAGGCUCAUGUUCCAUUAUGCGGGGGUCGAUCUCAUCAACGAUCAGCACCUCCUGAUUAAGCGGUGCGUCAAUCAUAUCAACAUCUUCUUGAUCAGUGGGAGCGUCACCUGGGACAUCCGCCAUGACCACAUCAGCCAUGAUCACGUGGACGUCCCGGGGCUCUACCUUCUUAAUGGAGCUUAGAUAGCACUCUCUCGAGCCUCUCUGGUCGCCUCUCACCGUUGCCACCCCAUUUUCUGUUGNAGAGCCUCAAUCUUCUCGGGAUUUGCUUCAAUUCCUCGCUGGUUGACCAUGUACCCCAAGAACUUGCCGGAAGCCACCCCAAAGGCACAUUUCAAGGGGUUGAGCCUCAUCCUGUACCUUCUCAGGAUUUGGAAGGUGUUGUUGAGAUGCGCUAUGUGGUUCUCUGCUUCUAAACUCUUCACCAGCAUGUCAUCCACGUAGACCUCCAUUGUCUUGCCAAUGAGGUCGGUAAACAUUUUGUUCACGAGUCUUUGGUAGGUUGCUCCGGCGUUUUUCAACCCGAAGGGCAUCAUUCUAUAGCAAUAGAGGCCUCGGUCCGUGAUGAAAGAGGUGUGCUCUUCAUCGGCCGGGUGCAUGGGGAUUUGGUUGUAGCCGGAGUAUGCAUCCAUGAAGCUCAACAACUCGUGCCCAGCCGUGGAGUCCACCAAUUGGUCAAUCCUUGGAAGCGGAAAGCUGUCUUUCGGGCAAGCUCUAUUGAGGUUGGUAAAGUCGAUGUAUACCCUCCAUUUGCCAUUGUGUUUCUUAACCAAGACCGGGUUGGAGACCCACCUCGGAUAGGUGGCCUCCCUAAUGAAGCCAUUUUGGAUGAGCUUCUAAACCUCUUCCUUUAGGGCCUCAUACCUCUCAGGGUUGAGGGCUCUCCUUUUUUGUCUAUGCGGGGCAACAUUAGGAUCAAUUUUCAAGUGGUGGCAGUUGAUCUUAGGAUCUAUGCCUACCAUGUCCUCAUGCCUCCAAGCAAAGACGUCAAGGUUCUUGCCUAGGAAGUCCUUAAUCUUUUCUCUCAAAAUAUUGGAUAGGCCUCUGCCUACUUUCAACACCUUGGACGGAUCUCGGGGGUCGGCUGGGAAGCUCUCAAGUUCCUCUACAGGGAAUGCUUGAGACUCAUGUUCCAUUAUGCAGGGGUCGAUCUCAUUAACGAUCAGCACCUCCUGAUUAAGCGGUGCGUCAAUCAUAUCAACAUCUUCCUGAUCAGUGGGAGCGUCACCUGGGACAUCCGCCACGACCAUAUCAGCCAUGAUCACGUGGACGUCCCGGGGCUCUACCUUCUUAAUGGAGCUUAGAUAGCACUCUCUCAAGCCUCUCUGGUCGCCUCUCACCGUUGCGACCCCAUUUUCUGUUGGGAAUUUCAUGCAUAGGUGGUGGAUGGAGGUGACUGCUCCCAAUUCCUUUAGGGCCGGUCUGCCCAAGACUCCGUGGUAAGCCGACCGGCUGUCAACUACGAGGAAUUCCAUGAAGUUCAUCGUAGUUUGAGGAGAUUCUCCCAUCUCUACUGCCAGUGUUAUCUUUCCCCUCGGAGUGAUGCUAUCUCCGGUAAAUCCAUACAAUGGAGUAGUGGUGGGCGUCAACUGAUGGUCCAAUAUCAUCUUGUCAAAGGCAGACCCGAAUAGGAUGUUGACGGAGCUGCCGCUGUCGGCUAGCGUUCGUUUGAGCCCAUUUCGGGCUAUGACAGCCCUCACCACCAGCGCAUCGCAGUGGGGGUAAUGAACUCCUUCGGCGUGUUCCUGGGUGAAGACAAUGGAUGGUACUUGGUUUCUUCGAGAGCUACUGUUCACAAUGUAACUCGUCAGAGGGGGGUGCUUAGCCUCCCUAGCAUAAUUUCUUUUGGCGUUUCGUGUUUCACCGCCAAUAUAAGGGCCUCCAAAUAUGGUAUCUAUCUCGUGGAUAGGGGCCUCAUCUCGAGCUUGCCUAUUUCUUCGGUGUCUACGCCCUUCCCUGGGCCUCUCUGUGUCUUGCUCUCUUCGCCUUGGGGAUACAUUUCUUUGACGAGGAGCGGCCGCCUCACGCCCAUGUUGGUUGUGCCUGGGCGGGGGCCUGUUCGCCUAGGGCGAGUCAUGUCUUUCUCUGGCGGGUUCCUGCCGGGAGCGGUGUGCAUAGUCUCUGCAAUGCGGUAUUGUGCCCGUAGGACCUGUGGUACAAACAGUAUCCUGAGAGGUUCGGAUUGGACCUAUUUCUAGGUGCAAAACCUCGGCCUCUCCCUCUACGGGGUCCCUGCUGGGCCUCCAUCUAAUGUGGGUCAGCAGUUGGGUUGACAUCCUCAUAUGCCAAGGUAGGGACCGCGUUCAGAGUUGUG